ACGCGCGCUCCGGGGUCGGUGAAACUCCGAGCCGGCGGUGAUAGUCCGCGACCCGUCCGCCCUUGUGGCGGCCGGUUGACCUGGUGGAAUUCCGGGACCGACGGUGAAAGUCCGGAUGGGAGGACGCGCGC
rfam:Frankia sp. EAN1pec, complete genome.